GACGAACGCAGGCGGCGUGCUUAACACAUGCAAGUCGAACGGAAAGGCCCUGCUUUUGUGGGGUGCUCGAGUGGCGAACGGGUGAGUAACACGUGAGUAACCUGCCCUUGACUUUGGGAUAACUUCAGGAAACUGGGGCUAAUACCGGAUAGGAGCUCCUGCUGCAUGGUGGGGGUUGGAAAGUUUCGGUGGUUGGGGAUAGACUCGCGGCUUAUCAGCUUGUUGGUGGGGUAGUGGCUUACCAAGGCUUUGACGGGUAGCCGGCCUGAGAGGGUUACCGGCCACAUGGGGACUGCGAGACGGCGCAGACUCCUACGGGGGGCAGCAGUGGGGAAUAUUGCACAAUGGGCGGAAGCCUGAUGCAGCAGCGCCGCGUGCGGGAUGACGGCCUUCGGGUGGUAAACCGCUUUCGCCUGUGACGAAGCGUGAGUGACGGUAAUGGGUAAAGAAGCACCGGCUAACUACGUG
rnacentral:rRNA from 1 species